rnacentral:rRNA from 1 species
GUCUAUGGCCAUGCCACCCUGAACAUGCCAGAUCUUGUCUGAUCUCGGAAGCUAAGCAGAGUUGGGCCUGGUUAGUACUUGGCUGGGAGAUCACCUAGGAAUAUCAGGUGCUAUAGGCA